GAUGAACGCUAGCGGCAGGCAUAAUACAUGCAAGACGAACGGUAAGUUGAGUAGCAAUACUUGACCUAGAGUGUCGUACGGGUGCGUAACACGUAUGCAACCUACCUUUUACAGGAGUAUAGCUCGGUGAAAACCGAAUUAACCCUCCAUAAGAUCGUGUUCAGGCAUCUGGAAGCGAUAAAAACUGAGGUGGUAAAAGA
rnacentral:rRNA from 1 species